rnacentral:tRNA from 1 species
UUAAUUUUUGUCUUGUUGAUGGGGGUUUAGCUCAGUUGGUAGAGCGCCUGCUUUGCAAGCAGGAUGUCAGCG